GUAGGUGGCAAGCGUUGUCCGGAAUUAUUGGGCGUAAAGCGCGCGCAGGCGGUUCUUUAAGUCUGAUGUGAAAGCCCACGGCUCAACCGUGGAGGGUCAUUGGAAACUGGAGAACUUGAGUACAGAAGAGGAAAGCGGAAUUCCACGUGUAGCGGUGAAAUGCGUAGAGAUGUGGAGGAACACCAGUGGCGAAGGCGGCUUUCUGGUCUGUAACUGACGCUGAGGCGCGAAAGCGUGGGGAGCAAACAGGAUUAGAUACCCUGGUAGUCCACGCCGUAAACGGUGAGUGCUAAGUGUUAGGGGGGUUUCCGCCCCCUUAGUGCUGCAGCUAACGCAUUAAGCACUCCGCCUGGGGAUACGGCCGCAAGGCUG
rnacentral:rRNA from 1 species